UCCGUAGGCGGACUAAUAAGUCAGGGGUGAAAUACCACAGCUCAACUGUGGAACUGCCUUUGAUACUGUUAGUCUUGAAUUAUAUGGAAGUAGAUAGAAUGUGUAGUGUAGCGGUGAAAUGCUUAGAGAUUACACAGAAUACCGAUUGCGAAGGCAGUCUACUACGUAUAUAUUGACGCUAAUGGACGAGAGCGUGGGGAGCGAACAGGAUUAGAUACCCUGGUAGUCC
rnacentral:rRNA from 1 species